AAAUGUUUUUUUCCUGUAAAUACAGCGGUGAAGUUAGUUUCAGGUUGGAUAUAUUUUCCUGUAAAUACGGCGGUGAAGUUAGUUUCAGGUUGGAUAUAUUUUCCUGUAAAUACGGCGGUGAAGUUAGUUUCAGGUUGGAUAUAUUUUCCUGUAAAUACGGCGGUGAAGUUAGUUUUAGGUUGGAUAUAUUCUCCUGUAAAUACGGCGGUGAAGUUAGUUUUAGGUUGGAUAUAUUUUCCUGUAAAUACGGCGGUGAAGUUAGUUUUAGGUUGGAUAUAUUUUCCUGUAAAUACAGCGGUGAAGUUAGUUUCAGGUUGGAUAUAUUUUCCUGUAAAUACGGCGGUGAAGUUAGUUUCAGGUUGGAUAUAUUUUCCUGUAAAUACGGCGGUGAAGUUAGUUUUAGGUUGGAUAUAUUCUCCUGUAAAUACGGCGGUGAAGUUAGUUUUAGGUUGGAUAUAUUUUCCUGUAAAUACGGCGGUGAAGUUAGUUUUAGGUUGGAUAUAUUUUCCUGUAAAUACGGCGGUGAAGUUAGUUUCAGGUUGGAUAUAUUUUCCUGUAAAUACGGCGGUGAAGUUAGUUUCAGGUUGGAUAUAUUUUCCUGUAAAUACGGCGGUGAAGUUAGUUUCAGGUUGGAUAUAUUUUCCUGUAAAUACGGCGGUGAAGUUAGUUUUAGGUUGGAUAUAUUCUCCUGUAAAUACGGCGGUGAAGUUAGUUUUAGGUUGGAUAUAUUUUCCUGUAAAUACGGCGGUGAAGUUAGUUUUAGGUUGGAUAUAUUUUCCUGUAAAUACGGCGGUGAAGUUAGUUUCAGGUUGGAUAUAUUUUCCUGUAAAUACUGUGGUGAAGUUAGUUUCAGGUUGGAUAUAUUUUCCUGUAAAUACGGCGGUGAAGUUAGUUUUAGGUUGGAUAUCUGACGGACAUUCUCUGAGGAUCUACCGGUGUCUUCUCUCUCUCCAUAACCGGGAAUAACAACAGCAGCGCGGUUAAAUCUACUCGACACCCUCACUGUCAACGUCGGUGUUGAAUAAGGGACCGUCAAUAAAUUACCGGUUGAUGUUCUCAGAAAAGGCUGUUUUCCUUCAAUAGCUUCACUGUCAUGUGACCAAAAGACCUAAAAUUGAUUUCUG